rnacentral:tRNA from 1 species
GCCGCCUUAGCUCAGUUGGCAGAGCUCCUGUCUUGUAAACAGGUGGUCGUCGGUUCGAUUCCGACAGGCGGCC